UUUCCGGUUGAUCCUGCCGGAGGCGACCGCUAUUGGAGUUCGAUUAAGCCAUGCGGGUCUAGAGGCAUAGCCUCGGCGUACCGCUCAGUAACACGUGGAUAACCUGCCCUGUUCAGGGGGAUAACCUCGCGAAAGUGAGAAUAAUACCCCAUAGUUCACCAUGCCUGGAACGGUUGGUGGAUAAAAGCUCAGGCGGAACAGGAUGGGUCUGCGGCGUAUCAGGUUGUAGGGGGUGUAAUGGACCUCCUAGCCAUCGACGCGUACGGGUUGUGGGAGCAAUCGCCCGGAGAUGGAUUCUGAGACACGAAUCCAGACCCCACGGGGUGCAGCAGGCGCGAAAACUUGACAAUGCGAGAAAUCGUGAUCAGGGAACUCCAAGUGGCCCACUUUUUAGUGGUGUCUGAACCGACUCUAAACAGGUCGGGUAAUAGGGGCGGGAAAUAUCGGUGCCAGCCGCCGCGGUAAUACCGAAGCCCCAAGUGGUCGUCGAUCUUAUUGGGCCUAAAACGUCCGUAGCCGGUUUGGUACAUUCGUGGGUAAAUCAGACAGCUUAACUGUUUGAAUUCUGCGAGGACGGCCAAACUUGAGACCGGGGAGAGGUGUAGGGUACCUGCGGGGGUAGGGGGUAAAAUCCUGUCAUCCCGUAGGGACCACCAGUUGCGAAGGGCUCUACACUAGAACGGGAUCUGACGGGUCAGGGGACGAGGGCCUAGGGGCACGAACCGGGAUUAGAUACCCGGGGUAGUCCUAGGUGUAAACGCUGUGGACUUUGUGUCGGGGGUCUUUCGAGGACUCUCGGUGCCGGAGUGAAGAUGUUAAGUCCACUGCCUGGGGAGUACGGUCGCAAGGCUGAAACUUAAAGGAAUUGGCGGGGGAGCACCGCAACGAGAGGAGCGUGCGGUUUAAUUGGACUCAACGCCGGAA
rnacentral:rRNA from 1 species